UCUUUCUCAUAGUUGUUCCUUUCAUACUAAAAGGACUUUUCCUACUUCUCUGUUUAGGAGCAUAAUCCAGAGACAGUUCAUAUGAAGGUCCGUGAGCAAGGCAAAUCGUCUCCCUCCUGUCCUGCGUGAGUGAAGACACUUAACCUGCUCUCUCUGCAAUGUCGUGUCUAUGCUGGUGGGCAUUGCCGUGAUCCAUGUGGUUUUCAUCACUGCCAGGAAGGGGAGCUCCUUGGUCUGAGAGAAGAGAUGCAUGUCUGGGACCGCAUCCCACCGUCRCAGGCAGUGACAGCCGGCGCUGCUGCUCUCUGCAGGCUAUUGCCCAGGUGCCAAAGCCCAGAUGUGGAAUAUGACGCUGGACAAAGACGCAUGAUGGGGGCACACAGGAUUGUUCACGCAGAAAACACRUAAUCCCUCUGGGAUCCCGUCCUCUGUGAGUGUUGCUCUCUAAUCUCAGUGUCCUGGCUSUUGGGCAGUAGCUUUUAACUCUGCAAGUAGGAAGGAAAUGAGGGCUCUCCCUCUCCACACACCGUCACUGGGUUCAGCUCUUUAGCCCUAGAUACCUGCUCUUGCAGGCAGACUGUCCUGACACUGCUCUUCCCGAGAUGAAGGCUUCCUGCGG
rnacentral:lncRNA from 1 species